rnacentral:rRNA from 1 species
AGUGAACGCUGGCGGUAGGCCUAACACAUGCAAGUCGAACGGCAGCACAGGAGAGCUUGCUCUCUGGGUGGCGAGUGGCGGACGGGUGAGGAAUACAUCGGAAUCUACUUUUUCGUGGGGGAUAACGUAGGGAAACUUACGCUAAUACCGCAUACGACCUACGGGUGAAAGCAGGGGAUCUUCGGACCUUGCGCGAUUGAAUGAGCCGAUGUCGGAUUAGCUAGUUGGCGGGGUAAAGGCCCACCAAGGCGACGAUCCGUAGCUGGUCUGAGAGGAUGAUCAGCCACACUGGAACUGAGACACGUUCCAGACUCCUACGGGAGGCAGCGGUGGGGAAUAUUGGACAAUGGGCGCAAGCCUGAUCCAGCCAUACCGCGUGGGUGAAGAAGGCCUUCGGGUUGUAAAGCCCUUUUGUUGGGAAAGAAAUCCAGCUGGUUAAUACCCGGUUGGGAUGACGGUACCCAAAGAAUAAGCACCGGCUAACUUCGUGCCAGCAGCCGCCGUAA